UUACGGAAAUAAUUCAAUGUUUCCUUGGUUUGUUCGGGCGUCAGAUCUUCGGUUAUGGCUGGAAUCCUUUGCGAUGGCGGCGGGAUGUACCAGUUUUGAUUGUGGUAACCUGUCGAGGAUAAAAAACAGAGAUAGUUAUAUCACUGGCCCCAAGCACUUUAUGAUAAAAGGAAUGGCAAUCGCUAUUACACGGUCUCAUCCUCUACCGGAGCCUGAUAAACGUUGUGAGUAAACAAAGCACGAGGAAGGAUAAGUGAGUACACUAAACAAAUUUUUUGUCUUACCUAGUUAUACCAGAAUGAUAUGGGUGGCUUUUUUUACUUAAAUAUUUAAGAAUUCCUCGAUCUUCAAGGUAGUUAUUUUCCACCUUGCGAUCUGAACUAACAAGAAGCGUCUGCUUUUGCUUUUUGUUAGGUAACCGGGAACAGGGCCAAUCGCCAUCUACUGGAGUGUUAUAUCACCACAACGAAUGAAGUAACGAAAUUCUUAACAAAAGAAAAAUGUAACAAAAUUAUUAAAGAUCGAAGCAAAUACGCCAAGACUAAACAUUGCAAAACUUUACGGUAAUAACAAUACCAGUUAACACAUUGAUUAAUCGAAGCUAUUUCUAAUUAUACCAAGAUUGGUGAAUUGCCAAGACUUCGUCACGGAUAUAAAUGGGAACUUGUGAGCUGCAAUACUUGAAAUUUCGAUUGAUGAAACGCAUCAAAAUUAUGUUGAAGUCUUUGGUAAAGCUUUAUUAAGCCAACUUGUCAGAUAAUUUAUAAGGAAAAAUUUUUCAAUGCGUUCGGACUCGUCAACCUUAGGCAAUGUCAAGUUCUUUCGUCAAAUACAACGCCCUUCUUCAUCAAGACACAAUUUCAGGAUUUGCAUACACAUUUCAAAUAAGGUUAUCGAUUUGUACCUCUUACCGAAAAUGUAUCGACAAAUUUUCUGAAUGAAAUGUUUCGUGGUGACGUGGAAGCCCCAGUGGCCUUACUCGACGUAUGCGAGGCGGAAGACGGCCAUAAGAAGCCAAGCAUUCCAGCUCAAUAAUGAAAUCACGAGUGACCAGAAAUUUAAUCAAAUGUUUCUUUCUGAACGGCCAGUUCCCCUUUCAAUGCUCAUCGCACGUGCGGUCGAUUCUAUUGACAAGCCAGACACUACAAGUGUCACGCACAGCAUACUUCUGGAACUGAUCAAGCAGCGGGAGUGACAAACACAUCGUCUGUGGGCCACGGCCAAAAAAGAGGCAUUCUGGCGUCGAAUAUUUUUCAUUGUUUGUGUCGACAUGCCAUUGAAAUGCUGACACGAAGCCGUCGGAGAGAUCACCGAUUGCAUCUGUGGUAGCUCAUAUGAGCAGGCGAGUUGGCAUGUUCGUCAAUACUAACAAACGUGAAACUUUGGGAGCCUUAGAAAGAAACAUCAAAGAGACAAUAGCUUUAUAAGCGAUGAAUCACGGGAUUCGGAGACAAAAGCUAUUACAGAUACUAUAUGAAGCCCAAAGAAUGGAGAAGAGUCUAUGACCCGUUUUAGAUGGCCUACGCAAACUCGAAAAAGAAUAAAAGAAAAAACAAAACAAAAAACAGUUGGGAUAAAAUAAGGAAAUGACAAGUCUCGUCAUUGGAUUCCUUAUACUCUUUCGCUUGGCUGCACGCAAUUCCAAUAAAAGACGGUGACUUGCCCUGGGUCCCGAGUCAAACGCAUGUUGCAAAAGACCAAAGGAGUUCCUGGAAUGGGACGGUCGAUUAUUCUUCGACGACGCAAGUGUUACGCAUAUCCACGUGUUUGUCCAUUUGACGCAUUUGAAAAACAAACUUCUAAUGCGUACACGUCAGGUAAAAUUGUA
rnacentral:lncRNA from 1 species